rnacentral:lncRNA from 10 species
CGAGAAGAAAACUUUUAAGACUUUAAGCCCCCUACCAUAUCUAAUUCUCCCUGCAUGCUGAUAGCAUCUGGCCCUCAAACUUGCAAAUGAGUUUUCUUUUUCUGUUUUUUUUUUUUUUUUUUUUUUUUUGAGACGGAGUCUUGCUCUGUCACCCCGGCUAGAGUGCAGUGGCACGAUUUCGGCUCACUGCAAGCUCUGCAUCCCGGGUUCAUGCCAUUCUCCUGCCUCAGCCUCCCGAGUAGCUGGGACUACAGGCGCCCUCCACCACACCCGGCUAAUUUUUUUGUAUUUUUAGUAAAGACGGGGUUUCACCGUGUUAGCCAGGAUGAUGUCGAUCUCCUGACCUCGUGAUCCAUAUGUCAGCUGCACCUCUACCUUCACUGACACUAGUAAUUAUCUCAGCUAUUGAGUUUCGAAAGCACUGCAUUAUUUGAGAGAUGUCUUUCCCUUGAUCCCUCACUCAGAAGUUGGGAUCAAUAACCUGCCACAUUUGGUAAUUGAUUGAAACUACUGCCAUCUGUGUGCAUGGAAGAGCAGUGAGGGGAGAGAAAAAUCAGUGGGUGAGUUUUGGCUCCUCAGGCUUCACACAGGAACAACCACAAAAAGAGUUGUUAACAAAGAUUGCUUAAGGGCCUCUUUUUCUUUUCCUUGAUCAUUCUUUUUCAUCGUUGUUCCUCAGGAAACUGUGUAAUGGAACGAAAAGAAUGAGAGCUUACUAAUGUGAUGGUGACACGAUUGUUCCUCUCCUUUUGGGAGAUCCUGAGUGAGGGGGAUAUUUCUCUCUCAAUUCUUCUUGUCUUAUGCUUAUGCAACAGGGUUGUGUUAUUUAAGUACAGCUUUGAAGAAGUAAGAGAAAAGCAGUAUGAAGGAAUAAACCUGGACUCACCUGCAUGCUUAGCCGGUGCUCUGCCACCAAGCUAUAUACCCCAAUUGACCCUACAUUUCAGUAAAUCCUCUAAAACUGAUGAUUGUCCCAAUUUCUGGAUAUCCAGUGGUUGGUAGGACAGUUUACUGUAUUCAACCUCACUAUUUCAGAAAAUCCUAGACCAGUCCCUUUUUGCAGCUAUGCCAUGAAAAGUAAUGGAAUGCUAGACCAAAAAACAGUUUUGUUUACUAAGAUCUUCCUCCUCCAAUUUUCUCACUCCAGUCAGGCCACUCCAAGGUCUGCUCACCAACAUACUACAGAGCAUCAGCUUCAACUCAUCGAGGAGAAUCCCAAGUUGAGAUAUUUACUUCUUUUCAAUAUUAUUUUCUUUCAACUUCCAUGUUGUCUACAAAGUAUCAAAAAAGACAAAAGAGUGCAGGCCGGGCCCAGUGGCUCAUACCUGUAAUCCCAGCACUUUGGGAUGCCAAGGCAGGCAGAUCUCCAGAGGUCAGGAGUUGGAGACUGGCUUGGCCAACGUGGUGAAAACCCACCUCUACUAAAAAUACAAAAAUUAGUGAGGGGUGUUGGCACAUGCCAGUAGUCUCAGCUACUUGGGAGGCUGAGGCAUGAGAAUCACUUGAACCCAGGAGGCAGAGGUUGCAGUGAGCCGAAACAUGCCACUUCUCCCCAGCCUGAGUGACAGAGCAAGACUCCAUCUCAAAAAAAAAAAAAAAAAAAAAAGACAAUGCAGAAGGACAAAAAGAAGAAGACCGUGCAGAAGGACAUAAAGAAUAUUAGCAAUGUGUUACCUCAGGGGAUUUAGAUCCAGGUAAGUGGGAAAGAUAGAAGUGAAAUAAAUUAAUAAUACUUGCUGAGAAAUGAAGUAUGACAAAAUGAGAGACAUGAGUGCCAAUCUCAAAAUAUAGGCUAAUGUUGGGUAGAUAAGACAGAAGAGGAAAAAAUUUAUCUCAAAGCCUGGCUAUAAAUGAAGAGCAACAACAGUGUUUCACAGUCACUGUUCUAGCAAACCCUGGCCUGGACCCAAUUAAUGGAUGCUUCAGCUCUAGUUAAGGAGGCCCCAUAGAAGGAAAGGGAAAGAGUAAAAGAAGGGAAAAGCUGCAAUGUAUUAUAAAGCCUCAUUUGGAUAAAAUUCUGUCCAGAAUAAAGAAAGUGGAAAAGAAACAAUAUGUGAUCUGGAACAUUAAGUCUUUAUAACGUCUUUGUAAAAAAACAAACAGAUAGAUAGAUAGAUAGAUAGAUAGAUAGAUAGAUAGAUAGAUAAAUCUGCUGGGCACAGUGGUUCACACCUGUAAUCCCAGGACUUUGGGAGGCUGAGGCAGGUGGAUUAUGAGGUCAGGAGUUGGAGACCAGCCUAGCCAACAUGGUGAAACACGAUCUCUACUAAAAAUACAAAAAUUAGCCGGGUGUGGUGGUGCAUGCCUGUAAUCCCAGCUACUAGGGAGGCUGAGGCAGGAGAAUUGCUUGAACCCGGGAGGCAGAGGUUGCAGUGAGCCAAGAUCUUGCCACUGCACUCCAGCCUGGGGGACAAGAGUGAAACUCCAUCUCAAAAAAAAAAAAAAAAAAUUCCAGAUCCUCGUGAAGCCUCUUUAGGCCUAGAGAAGUCCUCAAACUUUGCCACAUAAGACACGAAGAGUAGUCCCUGUGAGUUUUGCCAAUAUUUUUGUGUGACUGUCAACCCUCACAGGAGCUUUGGAGAAAACCCUAGGGUACCUUCUAGCAGAAGCAGCCAGUAAGGUACAUGAUUUUAAAGCUUCCCAGAUGAUUCCAGUAAUCAGUCAGCUUUGAGAACCAAUAGCCUAGGAAGUCAAGCACCCAGAGCCUGUAUUGAAUUAAUUUUUUAGGAAAAUUUCAUAGAAGAGGAGGUGAAGUGAACAUAUAGUAGACAGGAUAUAUCCAAAGGUCUAUAUCUUUCUUGUUAUCACUAGAGUACAAGUUCUUAUCUAUACAAGUUCCCCUUUCUUCUGGAAGAAAAAACACUAAAGACAUUU